rnacentral:rRNA from 1 species
CACGUAGGGGGCAAGCGUUGUCCGGAUUUAUUGGGCGUAAAGAGCUCGUAGGUGGUUCGGUAAGUCGGGUGUGAAAUCUCGGGGCUUAACUCCGAAACUGCAUUCGAUACUGCCGUGCUUGAGGACUGGAGAGGAGACUGGAAUUUACGGUGUAGCGGUGAAAUGCGUAGAUAUCGGGAGGAACACCAGUGGCGAAGGCGACUACCUGGCCUGUUCUUGACGCUGAGGCGCGAAAGCUAGGGGAGCAAACGGG